GGUUUCCAUAUCUACUUUCAGAUCACUUUGAUUAUUCUGAAAUAAUUUCCUAGAUUCACAAGACUAUAACUUAAACAAAAAACCGAUUAAUUUCUAACAAACUAUGCAGCGACUACUUCCUGAGCAGUUAUAUAUACAGAUCACAGCAAACCUAAGACUAAAACCUUUUCAACUGCUAAAACUCACAACUGUUUCCUCCAAGAUAAUUAC
rnacentral:misc_RNA from 1 species